UUGGAGGGCAAGUCUGGUGCCAGCAGCCGCGGUAAUUCCAGCUCCAAUAGCGUAUAUUAAAGUUGUUGCAGUUAAAAAGCUCGUAGUUGAAUUUCGGGAUCAAAAUGUCGGUCGUGCCUUCGGUACGUACUGGUAUCAUUGGUCUCUCCUUUCUGACGAACCAUGAUGUCAUUAAUUUGGUGUUAUGGGGAGUUAGGACUGUUACUUUGAAAAAAUUAGAGUGUUUAAAGCAGGCUUUAGCUUGAAUACAUUAGCAUGGAAUAAUGAAAUAGGACGUUCGAACCUAUUUUGUUGGUUUCUAGGAUCAACGUAAUGAUUAAUAGGGAUAGUUGGGGGCAUUAGUAUUCAAUUGUCAGAGGUGAAAUUCUUGGAUUUAUUGAAGACUAACUACUGCGAAAGCAUUUGCCAAGGAUGUUUUCAUUAAUCAAGAACGAAAGUUAGGGGAUCGAAGACGAUCAGAUACCGUCGUAGUCUUAACCAUAAACUAUGCCGACUAGGGAUCGGAUGAUGUUAAUUUUUUAAUGACUCAUUCGGCGCCUUACGGGAAACCAAAGUGUUUGGGUUC
rnacentral:rRNA from 1 species